GAGAGAGAGUGUGUCCAGGGAUAACUGGCAGGGAUAGAAAAAGAGGAAGCUCUCUUAAACCAGGCCAGAUGAUUUGUCCAUCUAGCUCAUUCCUACCAUUCUUCAGGGUGUCAGGACUGAAACAACUGAAAUUCAUCCAUGCAAAAUCAGCAAAAGCGACCUCUGGAAAAGAGCAGUUUUUGUAUGCAUACAAAGUGGAGUCUCAGACCAACUAUGAAUCAUUUUACUGCAAAGUGCUGGCAGAUACACUGGUGAAUAUAUUGUAUUCGACCCUCUGUCUAAACAAUGUGCAAGAAAGUUGAAUCCUGAAGAUUUUUAUAUUUGUCAAAAGGGACUCAAGGUGACAAAUUUUAGCAAGAUGGAAUACUUUCAAUUUGCCUUAUGGAAAGAAGAUUGGGCUACUUGCCUAUCAGAUGGUAUGCUGACUUGUGGAAUGAUGUCCUGAUGUAACUGGGGACCCAAGAGUACCUCUAGCUAAAAAGAAUUUCAUUCUCUACCAGAUCAAGGAAAAAGUAAAAUUUAUUUGCUUUUAUCACUCAUAUUCUGCAUAUAUCUACUGCAUAUCACCAAUAAAUUGAAU